UUUCCCCAGCCGCCCCACACACAAACACUCAGACCCUAAACCAUACACACACGAAACGGAAAGAAGGAGAAGGAAGGAGAGGGGGAAAAGGGGAGACGGCGGCGGUGGAUGUCACUGCCACCGUCGCCGCCGUCUUAUCGCUGUCGGGAGAGUAAUAACGUGAGGGGAGAGAGAGACGAGCUCGCGAGGGAGUAGCGUCGCCGCCACUGGAGGGGAGCCUGGCUGUCCUCGUCACUGCCAGCUCCGUCGCCGUCGUCACCAUUGGAGCUGCGCGAAGCCGUCGUCGCCGUUGUCACCAUCGAUGCUUCUCGUUGUCGUUUGUGGGUUGUCGCCUCUUCUGCUUCUGCUGUCACGCUGUCGUCUGCCCCUCUGGACAUCGCUGCUUUUGAAUCGUGUCCUGUCACUCGGAUAUGCUGCAAGAAGCUAUCAGAAAGUGGCAUUGAUGAGAAGAAGCACAAACCCUCCACCAGCAAUACCGCUGCCUCUAAAUCCAAGGACGGAAUGGAAGAUUACAAUUUUGCUAUGAAGAGGAUGAUGAGGAAUCCUUAUGAGUAUCACCACGAUCUGGGUUUGAAUUACACACUUAUAACUGACAAUCUCAUUGUGGGAUCCCAACCACAGAAACCUGAAGACAUCGAUCACCUCAAGAAGGAAGAGGGGGUGACAUACAUUCUGAAUUUGCAGCAAGAUAAGGAUGUAGAAUAUUGGGGAAGCCUGCAUUUCAGUCAAUUUUGUUGAGAAAAUAGACUCCCACUCUGAAUUUUAUGAAAAUCAAGAGUGGUUCCUCCACUGAGUUUCUCAAUCAUUUGCAAAAUUGCCCUGCUUGGGGUCAUAGGAUGUUCAUCACAGAUGCUGGGCUAUGCUGGAAUUAGUUACAGUAAUCCCACUUUCCUCAGCUAUCAGUAACCUCAUUCCUGCUUUCACCGUCAUACUUGUUAUCAUUUGCAGGCAAUAUAGACUUUGAUCCAAACUCCUUGCAAAAUAUUCUACCUAAAGCAGUCUUAUCAUUGGAAUGGACAAUCUCAGAGGAAAAAGGAAGAGUUUCUGUGCAUUGUACUGCUGGACUUGGGAGAACACCAGGGGUGGCAAUAGCUUAUUUGUUCUGUUUCUAUGACAUGAAUAAUUCCCUCCGGGAUUGCCGACACGAAGUCUCAAGACGGUGUGAACUCGAAUGUUGGGAUCACUUGCAUGAAGUUUAAAGAAGGCACGAAUUAAGGAAACUUGAGAACAAAAUUGUCUAGUUUCAUAACAAUCUCUCAACAGUUACCAACCUCUAUUGUAUAAUUUUAGCUGGUUAUUGAAUGCCAUUCACAUGCUGCUUGUCACUCGUGGUGACGUGUGAAGAUAUUUUUCUAAAGUGCCAAGGACAAAAAUAUCUUAAAUCGGUCUUCAUUUGUAUCUAGUAGUUUUUAGCCUUUAUCUUUCUACAAGUACUAAUCUCAUGCCGUAGUAUUCCCCCGAAAUCACUCCCAUCAAGUUACAAGGUGAUGAAAGUCAAGGAAAUGAAGGGGUGAAGCAUUUAUGCCUCAGUCAUAGCAUACUAUGCAUUUUAAAAUAAGAAUAAUUCAAUUUUUGUCUGUAGUGUUUUCUGCUGUUUAUCCCAUGUUUAUCCUUUUGGGGAAACAUGAUAGUUUAAGUUAAAUCUGGAAUCACAAAUUGGAUGAAACAUAUCACAUGGGACCUUGGGCAUGGGCCAAAACCUGGAAAAACGUAGCACUUGCAAACUUUUUUUUUUGUCAGAUGGAUUGAACAAAUCCAAACACUCUUCACAUUUAAUAUCACGGUACGGGUUUUUCUUUGAGAUCACUCUCAUAAAAUUAAGGCGGUGACUGACGAUACUUCUGAGAUCACUCGCAUAAAGUUAAGGUGGCACUCAUAAAGUUAAGGCGGCGACUGGGGAUACUUCCGAGAUCACUCGCAUAAAGUUAAGGUGGCACUCUCAUAAAGUUAAGGCGGCGACUGGGGAUACUUCCGAGAUCACUCGCAUAAAGUUAAAGUAGCGACGGCCGAUAAUCAACUUGUCGAAUAAGAAAAAAGGUGACAUAUGGGCACAAAAAUAUUAGAGCCUCAGAAUUAUUCUUCAAAGGUUAGUGACUUGCCUCACUCUUCACUUGGACUAAGGUUCUAGACUACCUUCUGUUUGGUAUUUUGGUUUCUAGAAGACCACAUUUAAGAGACCUCAUCUUGUUAUCUCUA